rnacentral:rRNA from 1 species
GACGAACGCUGGCGGCGUGCUUAACACAUGCAAGUCGAACGGAAAGGCCCUGCUUUUGUGGGGUGCUCGAGUGGCGAACGGGUGAGUAACACGUGAGUCACCUGCCCUUGACUUUGGGAUAACUUCAGGAAAUUGGGGCUAAUACCGGAUAGGAGCUCCUGCUGCAUGGUGGGGGUUGGAAAGUUUCGGCGGUUGGGGCUGGACUCGCGGCUUAUCAGCUUGUUGGUGGGGUAGUGGCUUACCAAGGCUUUGACGGGUAGCCGGCCUGAGAGGGUGACCGGCCACAUUGGUACUGAGGUACGGCCCAGACUCCUACGGGAGGCAGCAGUGGGGAAUAUUGCACAAUGGGCGGAAGCCUGAUGCAGCAACGCCGCGUGCGGGAUGACGGCCUUCGGGUUGUAAACCGCUUUCGCCUGUGACGAAGCGUGAGUGACGGUAAUGGGUAAAGAAGCACCGGCUAACUACGUG